rnacentral:rRNA from 1 species
GAUGAACGCUGGCGGCGUGCCUAAUACAUGCAAGUUGAGCGAUGACGCUUGGUGCUCGCGCCCAUUUGAAGAGCAGCGGACGGGUGAGUAACGCGUGGGGCAUCUGCCUUUGAGCGGGGGACAACAUUUGGAAACGAAUGCUAAUACCGCAUAACAACUUUAAACAUAAGUUUUAAGUUUGAAAGAUGCCAUUGCAUCACUCAAAGAUGAUCCCGCGUUGUAUUAGCUAGUUGGUGAGGUAAAGGCUCACCAAGGCGAUGAUACAUAGCCGACCUGAGAGGGUGAUCGGCCACAAUGGGACUGAGACACGGCCCAAAAUCCUACGGGAGGCAGCAGUAGGGAAACUUCGGCAAUGGACGAAAGUCUGACCGAGCAACGCCGCGGGAGGGAAGAAGGUUUUCGGAUCGUAAAACUCUGUUGGUAGAGAAGAACGUUGGGGAGAGUGGAAAGCUCAUCAAGUGACGGUAACUACCCAGAAAGGGACGGCUAACUACGUG